rnacentral:rRNA from 1 species
AACGUAGGGGGCAAGCGUUGUCCGGAAUCACUGGGCGUAAAGGGCGCGUAGGCGGCAAUAUAAGUCAGGUGUGAAAAGUGAGGGCUCAACCGUUAGAGUGCACCUGAUACUGUAUAGCUUGAGUAUGGGAGAGGGAAGCGGAAUUCCUAGUGUAGCGGUGAAAUGCGUAGAUAUUAGGAAGAACACCAGUGGCGAAGGCGGCUUUCUGGCCCAAAACUGACGCUGAGGCGCGAAAGCGUGGGGAGCAAACA